rnacentral:rRNA from 2 species
UUAAGCGACUAAGCGUACACGGUGGAUGCCCUGGCAGUCAGAGGCGAUGAAGGACGUGCUAAUCUGCGAUAAGCGUCGGUGAGGUGAUAUGAACCGUUAUAACCGGCGAUUUCCGAAUGGGGAAACCCAGUGUGUUUCGACACACUAUCAUUAACUGAAUCCAUAGGUUAAUGAGGCGAACCGGGGGAACUGAAACAUCUAAGUACCCCGAGGAAAAGAAAUCAACCGAGAUUCCCCCAGUAGCGGCGAGCGAACGGGGAGGAGCCCAGAGCCUGAAUCAGUGUGUGUGUUAGUGGAAGCGUCUGGAAAGGCGCGCGAUACAGGGUGACAGCCCCGUACACAAAAAUGCACAUGCUGUGAGCUCGAUGAGUAGGGCGGGACACGUGGUAUCCUGUCUGAAUAUGGGGGGACCAUCCUCCAAGGCUAAAUACUCCUGACUGACCGAUAGUGAACCAGUACCGUGAGGGAAAGGCGAAAAGAACCCCGGCGAGGGGAGUGAAAAAGAACCUGAAACCGUGUACGUACAAGCAGUGGGAGCCUCUUUAUGGGGUGACUGCGUACCUUUUGUAUAAUGGGUCAGCGACUUAUAUUCUGUAGCAAGGUUAACCGAAUAGGGGAGCCGAAGGGAAACCGAGUCUUAACUGGGCGUUAAGUUGCAGGGUAUAGACCCGAAACCCGGUGAUCUAGCCAUGGGCAGGUUGAAGGUUGGGUAACACUAACUGGAGGACCGAACCGACUAAUGUUGAAAAAUUAGCGGAUGACUUGUGGCUGGGGGUGAAAGGCCAAUCAAACCGGGAGAUAGCUGGUUCUCCCCGAAAGCUAUUUAGGUAGCGCCUCGUGAAUUCAUCUCCGGGGGUAGAGCACUGUUUCGGCAAGGGGGUCAUCCCGACUUACCAACCCGAUGCAAACUGCGAAUACCGGAGAAUGUUAUCACGGGAGACACACGGCGGGUGCUAACGUCCGUCGUGAAGAGGGAAACAACCCAGACCGCCAGCUAAGGUCCCAAAGUCAUGGUUAAGUGGGAAACGAUGUGGGAAGGCCCAGACAGCCAGGAUGUUGGCUUAGAAGCAGCCAUCAUUUAAAGAAAGCGUAAUAGCUCACUGGUCGAGUCGGCCUGCGCGGAAGAUGUAACGGGGCUAAACCAUGCACCGAAGCUGCGGCAGCGACACUAUGUGUUGUUGGGUAGGGGAGCGUUCUGUAAGCCUGUGAAGGUGGCCUGUGAGGGUUGCUGGAGGUAUCAGAAGUGCGAAUGCUGACAUAAGUAACGAUAAAGCGGGUGAAAAGCCCGCUCGCCGGAAGACCAAGGGUUCCUGUCCAACGUUAAUCGGGGCAGGGUGAGUCGACCCCUAAGGCGAGGCCGAAAGGCGUAGUCGAUGGGAAACAGGUUAAUAUUCCUGUACUUGGUGUUACUGCGAAGGGGGGACGGAGAAGGCUAUGUUGGCCGGGCGACGGUUGUCCCGGUUUAAGCGUGUAGGCUGGUUUUCCAGGCAAAUCCGGAAAACCAAGGCUGAGGCGUGAUGACGAGGCACUACGGUGCUGAAGCGACAAAUGCCCUGCUUCCAGGAAAAGCCUCUAAGCAUCAGGUAACAUCAAAUCGUACCCCAAACCGACACAGGUGGUCAGGUAGAGAAUACCAAGGCGCUUGAGAGAACUCGGGUGAAGGAACUAGGCAAAAUGGUGCCGUAACUUCGGGAGAAGGCACGCUGAUAUGUAGGUGAAGCGACUUGCUCGUGGAGCUGAAAUCAGUCGAAGAUACCAGCUGGCUGCAACUGUUUAUUAAAAACACAGCACUGUGCAAACACGAAAGUGGACGUAUACGGUGUGACGCCUGCCCGGUGCCGGAAGGUUAAUUGAUGGGGUUAGCGGUAACGCGAAGCUCUUGAUCGAAGCCCCGGUAAACGGCGGCCGUAACUAUAACGGUCCUAAGGUAGCGAAAUUCCUUGUCGGGUAAGUUCCGACCUGCACGAAUGGCGUAAUGAUGGCCAGGCUGUCUCCACCCGAGACUCAGUGAAAUUGAACUCGCUGUGAAGAUGCAGUGUACCCGCGGCAAGACGGAAAGACCCCGUGAACCUUUACUAUAGCUUGACACUGAACAUUGAGCCUUGAUGUGUAGGAUAGGUGGGAGGCUUUGAAGUGUGGACGCCAGUCUGCAUGGAGCCGACCUUGAAAUACCACCCUUUAAUGUUUGAUGUUCUAACGUUGGCCCGUAAUCCGGGUUGCGGACAGUGUCUGGUGGGUAGUUUGACUGGGGCGGUCUCCUCCUAAAGAGUAACGGAGGAGCACGAAGGUUGGCUAAUCCUGGUCGGACAUCAGGAGGUUAGUGCAAUGGCAUAAGCCAGCUUGACUGCGAGCGUGACGGCGCGAGCAGGUGCGAAAGCAGGUCAUAGUGAUCCGGUGGUUCUGAAUGGAAGGGCCAUCGCUCAACGGAUAAAAGGUACUCCGGGGAUAACAGGCUGAUACCGCCCAAGAGUUCAUAUCGACGGCGGUGUUUGGCACCUCGAUGUCGGCUCAUCACAUCCUGGGGCUGAAGUAGGUCCCAAGGGUAUGGCUGUUCGCCAUUUAAAGUGGUACGCGAGCUGGGUUUAGAACGUCGUGAGACAGUUCGGUCCCUAUCUGCCGUGGGCGCUGGAGAACUGAGGGGGGCUGCUCCUAGUACGAGAGGACCGGAGUGGACGCAUCACUGGUGUUCGGGUUGUCAUGCCAAUGGCACUGCCCGGUAGCUAAAUGCGGAAGAGAUAAGUGCUGAAAGCAUCUAAGCACGAAACUUGCCCCGAGAUGAGUUCUCCCUGAGACUUAGAGUCUCCUGAAGGAACGUUGAAGACGACGACGUUGAUAGGCCGGGUGUGUAAGCGCAGCGAUGCGUUGAGCUAACCGGUACUAAUGAACCGUGAGGCUUAACCUU